rnacentral:lncRNA from 1 species
GUGUGUGUGUGUAUGCGUGUGUGUAAAAUUAAGUGAAUCCAACUGAGGAUAGGGACUUUCAUCCUAUCAAAUUAUUUUUGAUGAUAGAGAUCCCAAAUUGAUGAUCGGAACUGUUGAAGUUGAUUUACUUGAAUUAUUUAGAAACUAAAUUUUAUAAAUUUUAAAAUUUAUUUACAUAGUGAUCAAAAGAUUGCAAAAUUGACAGUUUUUGACGGCCUAUAUGAACCGUUUGCUUGUUUAACGGUGUAGAGUAAUCACUAUCGGUUGAAUUUUUGCUAAAAAAUUAUUUAUACUAUUUAGAUAAUAUUUAAUAACUCCGAUUGUAAAUUGAGAAAAUCUAACCUCUGUUUAAAGAUCAUUUGUUUUUGACUGUUCAUUUUUUACUCUUCAAUGAUUUGAUGAUAUUUUUUAAAAAUUAUAAAAUCUGGUUUCUAAAUAUUUCUAAUUAUGUAGAUCAAUUUCAAUCAUGCCGAUUAUCAAUUUAAAAUUUCGAUCAUCAAAAUAACUUAAUAGGACAAAGAGUACUAUCUUCUUGAGAGAAUAGUAGCCCAAGUCUAAUUAAGUCCUAAUCAUAAUCCCAAUUAUUUUCUUUUUUCAGCUAAAAAGGAAAACCAUCAUCAACCCUGGCUUUAAAUGUAAAAACUUUGGAACAGCCUUGUCAACUUUUAACUCUUUGUUGUUUAAAGCUCUCUAGGGAAUCGAAUAGUUUUAGUCAAAUAAAUUAAAAAGGGCAAACGUUAAAAACCCCGCAUGUGUUUCGCACUUUUUAAUUUUAGUACCAUUUAGUUUAAAGUAUAUAAAGUUAGUAUUCUGUGAUUUCUCACUUUAUCACUUUAGUACCCUGUGGUUUAAAGUGUAUCAAGUUAGUACUCUAUGAUUUUAUUUUUGUAUCAAAUUAGUAUCAUGUAAUUUUAUUUUUGUAUUAAGUUAGUAUCCUGUGGUUUUUAAACCACAGAGUACUAAAUUGAUAAAGUACGAAAUUACAGGGUACUCAAGUGAUAAAGUACGAAACAACAGGGUACUAAGGUGAAAAAGUGCGAAAUUAUAGGAUACUAACUUGAUACACUUUAAACCACAGAGUACUAAAGUAAAAAAUUAAACCACAAGGGGGCUAUUUGAAGUUUUCUCAAUUAAAAAUGUACCAAAUUUAUCAAUAAUUUUGUUAAA